UUGGAGUUCAAGUGCAUGUGGAGAAAAUGACCUGGAAGGCAGCGAGACAGAGAGCGGAAUGGGAAAGCGCAGGCUGGAAUAUCCUCUUUUUUCCAGGCACUGAUUUUUGCCCUGGAAUAAAGAAGGUGAGAUUGACAAAAGCACUCUCAACUCUCAAAAAGAGCAAAUGAAAGAAAAUCGAACACCGGGAGACUAGAGCAGAGGACAAGAAAAUGUAUUCCGGCCCCCUCCCCUGAACUCUCGGCUACGACUCACUCCUCCUUCUUUCCUCCCUCCUGUGAACCCCUUAGCCUCUCUUUUCUAUCUGUUUUUCCUUCUGUGUCAUCCUCUCCCCUCCCAUCUCCUCAUGCAGUCGCUUGCGUACACAUGCGCCCUUACGAUCUCGCUCUCUUUUCCUCUCUCUCCGCCGGCUGCAGUGCUUCUCUUCUCAUCCUCGCUGUCUGGCAGCUCCAUCCGUGUUCCUCCCUCCUGGACGGAGAAACACACGCAGCCUUUUUAAUGGUCCCCCCACCCCUCUGCGUGCCUCCCUAAAAAAAACAGGCCCCUUUUCCUACUUCUCUCGGUGCCUGAUCACCAUCCGCUCUCCUUUGCAAUUCACUUACAUUUAUCAUUUUUUCUUGUUUUCUCUUUGCGUUGAAUCAUUUUCCAGUUCUAUCCCACAAAUUCUCACAUUCAUAAUGUAAAAGCAGUUCAGAGUGCUGAAUGAAGAGUAGGAAAUGGGAUGGAUAGGAGGAAAAACAUGGUUUGGGAGGAAACGGUAAGAGAAGAGAAGUGACUGGGAUAGCGGAGAGGAGGAAGGACCCGGAGCAACGAGAGAGUGCCAAACGUGGGAUCAGCGAAACCGCGGGAAAAGAAGAAAGAACGUGCAGGAAUGCUGUGGAACUACAGUUUGGAAUCAUCCUUGUUAUUCCUUCCUCAAGACUGGAAUGAUGGAAAGAAUUUCAGCAUGUACGAAUGAAUAUCAUAAGAUUUUGGAACACCAUGUGCGUCGCAACCUCAGGAGAUUUAGAGACAUCACGCAAUUUGGAGAAGAAACCGUCAUUGUGAGAGUGGUGCAUUUACUAAGGAGGAAGGUAAAAAGUGUCGUCAUCCAAGAUUAAUAUGCUGUAUAUAUAAAAUAUGUAGUGUGUGUGAAUAUCU